ACAUCAGAUGAAUCUAAAGUAUUUGAGAAGAAGCCUUUCUUUCCUAAGAUGAGAAUACUGAUAGAUUUACAAAAUUCAGACCCCGCUUACAAGAAAACCCAGAAAUUGUCACACAAAAACAUCUUAAAGUACCAGAG